rnacentral:rRNA from 1 species
CCUUCGGGAGCCGACGAGUGGCGGACGGGUGAGUAACGCGUAGGAAUCUGCCUUAUAGUGGGGGACAACGUGGGGAAACCCACGCUAAUACCGCAUACGCCCUACGGGGGAAAGCGGGGGCUCUUCGGACCUCGCGCUAUGAGAUGAGCCUGCGUUAGAUUAGCUAGUUGGUAGGGUAAAGGCCUACCAAGGCGACGAUCUAUAGCUGGUCUGAGAGGACGAUCAGCCACACUGGGACUGAGACACGGCCCAGACUCCUACGGGAGGCAGCAGUGGGGAAUAUUGGACAAUGGGCGCAAGCCUGAUCCAGCAAUACCGCGUGUGUGAAGAAGGCCCUAGGGUUGUAAAGCACUUUCAAUGGGGAGGAAAACCUGCCGGUCAAUACCCGGUAGCUUGACAUUACCUUUAGAAGAAGCACCGGCUAACUCCGUGCCAGCAGCCGCGGUAAUACGGAGGGUGCGAGCGUUAAUCGGAAUUACUGGGCGUAAAGCGUGCGUAGGCGGUUCGUUAAGUCAGAUGUGAAAGCCCUGGGCUCAACCUGGGAACUGCAUUUGAAACUGGCGUACUAGAGUUGAGUAGAGGGGAGUGGAAUUUCAGGUGUAGCGGUGAAAUGCGUAGAUAUCUGAAGGAACACCAGUGGCGAAGGCGACUCCCUGGACUCAAACUGACGCUGAGGUACGAAAGCGUGGGUAGCAAACAGGAUUAAAUACCCUGGUAGUCCACGCUGUAAACGAUGUCAACUAGCCGUUGGUCCUAUUUACAGGAUUAGUGGCGCAGCUAACGCAUUAAGUUGACCGCCUGGGGAGUACGGCCGCAAGGUUAAAACUCAAAUGAAUUGACGGGGGSCCGCACAAGCGGUGGAGCAUGUGGUUUAAUUCGAUGCAACGCGAAGAACCUUACCUACCCUUGACAUCCAUAGAAUCAA